UGGUCCCAUUUGCUGCGGCGCCUACAGAAAGACAAAGAUAAAUAUUAACUCCCAAAGCUUUCAUUUAUAUUAUUCUUCCCUUACAGCGACUUUAACACCCCAUUUUCCUUCUACCCUGAUUCCUUUACCCCUCCGAUCUUCUACCGAGUCUAAAAUUCCAUUUCUCCUUAAAUAGACAAUUAAAGACUCUACGUCUCAAAAUCCCCAUUUCUUUCAACCCUUUCUCAGUGUCCACUUCCUUUCUACUCUGUUAUCUCCACGGAAAAGACUCCACUCUGUGCCACAUGCCCUCGUUUUCGCCGUCAUCUUGGCUCGCCCUUCCGAAAGUAUCGGCUUCUCUCCUCCCUCCGCUCCCCGCCAACCCUUUCAAGGGCCCCAGGCCUGCUCCCCAUCUUUCUCCCCAAGAGUCCGACCCUCCAAUCCGUACACUUCCCGCUUAAACGCCCCUCCACACAAACGCAGCUUCCGUGAUCCCUCUGUCUCUCCCGUGACCCCACGCUCACUCCAAUGUCCUCGCCCAAAAAGCCUCACCCGCCAGCUCCAGGAUGCGUCGCGCUCCCCGCGGACAUGGCGACCGGCUGUGCUCAACCACCCGCCAACUACCCCACUACCACCUUCCCGUCACUUCCGCCCCCAACGCCCUUACGCACAGUCCCUUCCGGUCUUGUGGUCAAGCGCUUCCGGUAGCAAUGUCGAUUCCGAUUGGACUGUACGUGAUUUAAAGGCGUCUAGCGUUGUCUGAGACAGGUAGGGUGUGAUCUUCCGGCUUGUGACUAACCCUUGAGAAAGAUGGCUGCUAUGAGUUAUUUAAAGGCAGAAAUGGGGCGAGGAGAAUCCAUCUUUGUUAUGGGCAAGUUGGUAGCCAGGAAGACAGUACGCAUGAGUGAGAGAGUAGAGGGCGUUCUCGCCCAAAUUCAGCUACGUUUGUCUGGUGUUCUAGCAUCUGGCCUUGGAGAGAGACUUCCUGCGACUUUUACAACGCUUUACGCUUCAGUUAUCUAUUUAGGGAAAGGGAAUCGAUAUGUUUCAAAGUCAUUUGAAGAAUUUCCUGGCUUUUUCAUUUUUGUGCCCCAAGCCCUGCUUUAAAAACAGAGGGUAUAAAAAUGAGUAAGUCACGAGUAUUGCCUUUCUGGUACUCACAAUGUAGCAGGGUAGGCAUGGGGGCAAUUACAUAUAAUACGGUUGGGGGCACAGUGGUUAAAGCGCUCGGCUGCCAACUCUCGGGGUUCAAACAUACUAGACGCUCUGCGGAGGAAACAUGGCAGGCUGCUUGCUAAAAGAUUUACAGCCUUGCAAACUGUGGGGACGCCGUACUCUGUCCCGUAGGGUCGGUAUGAGUCGGAAUCGACUCUAUGGCAAUGUUUUUGUUUUUAAUUAAAAACAGGAAUAAGAUGAUAUAUUCAACUCGGUGGGGCAUCUAAGGGAUCUGAAGGAAAUGGAAGCUAAACAAGUCAGGUGAGAGCUGGAGAAGAGACGCUGCGAUCCAGUGUAAGCAACCCUGUGCAUAUUUUUCCACCACUUUUCCGUCAGUUUGUUGUACUGUUGUGGCUUGCAUGUUGCUGUGAUGCCAGAAGCUAUGCCACCAGUAUUUCAGAUAUCAGCAGGGCCACCUAUGGUGGACAGGUUUCAGCGGAGCUUCUAGACUAAGACAGACUAGAAAGAAGGACCUGGCAGUCUACUUCUGAAAAGAGUUAGCCAGUGAAAACCUUAUGAAUAGCAGCAGAACAUUGCCUGAUAUCGGGCUGGAAAAUGAGCCCCUCAGGUUGGAAGGCACUCAGAAUAAAACUGGGGAAGAGAUGCCUCCUGAAAGUAGAGUUGACCUAAAUGACAUGGAUGGAGUCAAACUUUUGGGACCUUCAUUUGCUGGUGUGGCAUGACUCAAAAUGAAAAGAAACAGCUGCAAACAUCCAUUAAUAAUUAGAACAUGGAAUGCAUGAAGUAUGAAUCUAGGAAAACUGGAAGUCUUCAAAGAUGAAAUGGAACUAAUAAAGGUUUACAUCCUACACCUUAGCUGAAAUGGAUGAAAUUGGUAUUGGUCAUUUUGAAUUGGACAAUCAUAUGGUCUGCUACACCAGGAAUGACAGAUUGAAGAGGAAUGGUGUCACAUUCAUUGUCAAAAAGAAUAUUUCAAGAUCUGUCCUAAAGUCCAGUGCUGUCAGUGACAGGAUAACAUCCAUAUGCCUACAAGGAAGACCACUUAAUAUGACUCUUAUUCAAGUUUAUGCACCAACCCCUGAGACCAAAGAUGAAGAAGUUGAAGAUUUUUACCAACUUCUGCGUUCUGAAAUUGACCAAACAUGUAAUCAAGAUGCAUUGAUAAUUACUGGUGAUUGGAAUGCAAAAGUUGGAAACAAAGAAGAAGGAUCAGUAGUUGGAAAAUGGCCAAAACAACAGAAGGCUCUGCAACAGGUUCAGGCUGCUAUGCAAGCUGCUCUGCCACUUGGGCCACAUGAUCCGACUGAUCCAAUGGUGCUUGAGGUGGCCGUGGUGGAUAGAAAUGCUGUUUGGAGUCUUUGGCAGGCUCCUAUUGGUGAAUCACAGUGCAGACCCUUAGGAUCUUGGAGUAAAGACCUGCCAUCCUCUGCGGAUAACUACUCUCCUUUUGAGAAACAGCUUUUGGCUUGUUACUGGGCCUUACUAGAGGCCGAAUGCUUAACCGUGGGACACCAAGUCACCAUGUGGCCUGAGCUGCCCGUCAUGAACUAGGUGUUGUCUGACCCACAGAGCCAUAAAGUUGGACAUGCACAAUAGCACUCCAUCAUUAAAUAGAAGUGGUAUGUACAAGAUUGGGCCUGAGCAGGACCUGAAGGCACAAGUAAAUUGCAUGAGGAAGUGGCCCAAAUGCCCAUGGUCUUCACUCCCGUCACAUUACCUUCCUUCUCCUAGUUUGCACCUAUGGCCUUGUGGGAAGUUCUUUACAACCAGUUGACUGAGGAAGAGAAAUCUCAUGCCUAGUUUACAGAUGGCUCUGUGUGGUAUGCAGAUACCACUCAAAAGUGGACAGUGGUAGCACUACAGCCCCUUUCUGGGACAUCCCUGAAGGACAGCAGCGAAGGGAAGUCCUCCCAGUGGGCAGAACUUCGAGCAGUGUAUCCGCUCAUUUUGCUUGGAAGGAAAGACAGCCAGAUAUGUGAUUGUAUACUGAUUCAUGGGCUAUGGUAAAUGCUUUGACUGGGUGUCAGGGACUUGGAAGGAACGUGAUUGGAAAAUUGAUGACAAGGAAGUAUGGGGAAGAGGCAUGCGGACAAACCUCUCUGAUUAGGCCAAAGAAGCGAAGAUGUUUUUAUCUCAUGUGAAUGCUCACCAAAGGGUGACCUUGGCAGAAGAGGAUUUUAUCGAUAAAGUGGAGAGGAUGACACGUUCUGAGGAUACCAGUCAGCCUCUUUUCCCUGCCACUCUGUCAUUGCCCAAUGGGCUCAUGAAAAAAGUGGCCAUGUUAGCAGGGAUGGAGGUUAUGCAUGGGCUCAGCAACAUGGCCUUCCACUCACCAAGGCUGACUUGGCUGCGGCCAUGGUUGAGUGCUCAAUCUGCCAUUAGCAGAGACCAACACUGAGUCCCCAAUAUGGCACCAUUCCUAGGGGUGAUCAGCCAGCAGCCUGGUGACAGGUUGAUUACAUUGGAUCACUUCCAUCAUGGAAGGGGCAGUGUUUUGUUCAUACUGGAAUGGACACUUACUCUGGAUAUGGAUUUUCCUUUCCUGCAUGCAAUGCUUCUGCCAAGACUACCAUCUAUGGCCUUACAGAAUGCCUUAUCCACCAUCAUGGUAUCCCACACAGCAUUGCCUUGGAUCAAGGAAUUCACUUCACAGCAAAUGAAGUGUGACAGUGGGCUGUGCUCAUGGAAUUCACUUCAGGAUAAUGGAGAACAUGCCAGGUAGGUUGCGGCAGUGUCCUCCAGGAGGCUGUAUAUGCUCUAAAUCAGCAUCCUCUGCUGUUUCUCCCAUAGCCAGGAUUCAUGGGUCCAGGAAUCAAGGGGUGGAAAUGGGAGUGGCACCACUCAUUCUUGCUCCUAUUCACCUACUGGCAAAAUUUUUGCUUCCUGUCCCCACAACCCUAUGCUCUGUGGAUUUAGAGGUCUUAGUUCCAAAGGGAGGGAUGCUCCCACCAGAGACACAGCACUGAUUCCAUUGAACUGGAUGUUAAGAAUGCCAGCUGGCCAUUUUAGGCUUCUCCUUAUGCCUCUGGGUCAACAGGCAAAGAAGGGAGUUACCAUAUUGGCUGGUGUGAUUGAUCCUGAUUACUAAGAGGAAAUAGGAUUGAUAUUACAUAACGGAGGUAAAGAAUAGUAUGUCUGGAAUGUGGAAGAUUCCUUAGGACGUCUCUUAGUACUACCAUGCCCUUUGAUUAAAGUCAAUGGAAAACUAUAGCAACCCAAUUCCAACAUGACUACUAAUGGCCUAGACCCUUUAGGAAUGAAGGUUUGGGUCACCCCACCAGGCAAAAAACUACAACCAGCUCAGGUGCUUUCUGAGGGCAAAGGGAGUAUGGAAUGGGUGGCGGAAGAAGGUAGUUCUGAAUACCAGCUAUGACCAUGUGACCAGUUGCAGAAAUGAGGACUAGUUAUUUUUAGUAUUUCUUUGCUUUGUUAUAUCUGUGUGUGUUGGUGUGCGUGUGUGUGUGUAUCUAUAUAUGUAUAUAUAUAGAAGAAAAUACCUUUUUCUUUUAUUUCAUUACUUAUUAUAAAAUAUAGGAUGUAAAUGGGGCUAGUGCUUUUUUGGUUGUAUGUUGUAUCAUGUUAGAUGCAGGUAUGACUUUAUAAUUGUCUUUAUUUAGAGAUUAUGGUUUAAGGAGAUGUGUACAAGUGUCAAGUUGACAAAAGGUAGACUGUGAUGGUUAAGGUAAUGUGUCAAUUUGGCUAGGCCAUUUUUCUUAGUUAUCUAGUGCUGCUAUAACAGAAAUACCACGUAUGGAUGGCUUUGACAAACAAAUUUAUUCUCUCACAGUUUAGGAGGCUUUUUUUUUAAUAGAGGUUUUAUCUAGUGCUGCUAUAACAGAAAUACCACAUAUGGAUGGCUUUAACAAACAUAAAUUUAUUCUCUCACAGUUUAGGAGGCUAAAAGUCUGAAUUCAGGGCACUAGCUCCAGGGGAAGACUUUCUCUGUCAGCUCUGGGGGAAGAUCCUUGUCAUCAGUCUUCUUUUGGUUCUAGGAGUUUUCCAGCACAGGGACACUGGGUCCAAAUGACACGCUUCACACCCCUGGCUCUUCUUGCUUGGUGGUAAUGAGGUCCUUCUCCUCUCUGCUUGCUUCUCUUUUUUAUAUCUCAAGAGAGAUUGACUCAAGAUACAACCUAAUCCUGUAGUUGUGUCCUGCGUCAUUAACAUAACUGCCUCUAACCCUGCCUCAUUAACUUCAUAGAGGGUAGGAUUUACGACACAUGGGGAAAUUAUUUCAGAUUACACAAUGGAGGACAACCACACAAUACUGGGAAACGUAGCCUAGCUAAGUUGGCACACAUUUUGGAGGAACACAAUUCAAUCCAUAACAGCUAUGAUUCUCAGUGGUUUGGGCAGAUAUUAUGUAAUCAUCCUCCAUUUUGUGAUCUGAUGUGAGCACCCCAACAGUUUAAAGGGGAGUUUCAUUGGAGAUGUGACCUGCCUCCAGUGUAUGUGGAUGUUCAAGCAAAGUUCGCUCCCUCUCGAUCCUGCAUCCAACUUGUCAUCCUUGGACCUCUGGUUCUUGGGAUGUGAGUUAGCAGCCUGCAAUCUGACCUGCAGAUUUUGGGAUCCGCCAGCUCUCACAGCCCUGUGAGCCAGCAACCUGCUGCCUGACCUGCCAAUUUUGGGUUUGUCAGCCCCUGAAACCACGUGAGUCAGGAGAAGCCUCCAGCCUGAUGUCUGACCCAUGGAUUUGGGACUUGCCAGCCUCUACAACUGCGUGAGCCAUUUCCUUGAAAUAAAUCUCUCCAUAUAUAUGUGUGAAUGUAUAUAUGUGUGUAUAUAUAUACGCGCUUCACUGGUUUUGCGCCUCUAGAGAGCCCACCCUAAGACAUAUACAAGUUUUUGUGUGAACACAUUCUAUCAGUCUUUUGGAUAUAUCUAGGGAUGGAAUUGCUAGGUCAUAUAGUACUUGUAUGUUUAGCUUUUUGAGGAACUGACAAACUUUUCCAAAGGGACUGCACCAUUUACAUUCCCACCAGCGAUAUGUAAGGGUUCUAAUUUUUCCACAUCCCCACCAACACUUGGUACUUUUUGUCUUUUUGAUUAUAACCAUCUUUUUUUUUUUUUUUUUUUUUAGUGAGUUUGACGCCCUGGGGACUGGGUGGGUAGUGAGUUUGAAGUGGUAUUUCUUUGUGAUUUUGAUUUGCAUUUCCCUAAUGACUAAUGAAGGAGCCUGUGGUGCAGUGGUUAAGUGACCAGGUGCUAAUCAAGAGGUAAGUGAUUUGAACCCACCAGCCACUCUGGGAGAAAGAUUCAGCAGUCAGCUUCCUUAAAGAUUAUAGCCUUGGAAACACCUAUGGGGCUUCCAAACGCUACUCUGUUCUGUAGGGCCUCUAUGAGUCAGAAUUCACUCCGGGGGAAUGGGUUUUUUAAAUGACUAACAAAGGUCUCUAGGUGAUGUAAACAGUUUACUCUUGGCUACUAACCUAAAGGUUGGCGGUUCAAACCCACGCACUUGUACCAUGGAAGAAAAGUCCUGGUGAUCUGCUUCUGUUAAGAUUACAGGCAAGAAAACCUUAUGGAGCAGUUCUACUCUGUAACACAUGGGAUCGCUAUGAGUCAGAAUCAACUUGAUAGCAACUAACAACAUCGACAGUGACUAAUCAUGAGUCCCUGGGUGGUGCAAAAGGUUAACUGGGACUUGGAUACUGAGGCCCGGAGGUACCUCGGAAGAAAGGCCUGGUGAUCUACUUAUAAAAAGUCAGCCAGGAAAUGGGGAGCAACUGCUACUGGGUAUGGGGUUUCUUUUUGGGGUGAUGAAAAUGUCCUGGAACUAGACAAUGGAGAUGGCUGCACAAGCUUGUGAAUAUGUUAAAAAGCCACUGGAACUAUGGAGCAUAGUUCUAUUCUACCACACAUGGGAUCACUAUGAGUUGAUGUCAACUGCAUGGGAACUGGUUUGGUUACUCGACUCAUGAUGUUGAAUAUCUUUUUAGUUGCAUGUAUUCAAAUCCUUUCCCCAUUUUUUAACUGGGUUAUUUUUCUUUUUAUUGUUGAAUUGUAAAAGUUCUUUGUGUUUUAGGGAUAAUGUCCCUUAUCAGAUAUAUAAUUUGCAAAUAUUUUCUCCCGUUCUGUGGAUUGUCUUUUCACCUUCUUGAUAGUAUCCUUUGAAGCACAUAUGUUUUUUAAUUUUGCAGAAGCAUUGUUUUUAUUUUUAAACUUGGGAAGUAGCUACAUGUUUACAAUAAUAAUUCUUCCCAGCGAGGAAUGUGGUGUGAUUUUCCAUUUUGUGGAGUCUUGUUUUAUGCCCUUCAUAAAUCUUAGACAAUGUUCAUCUGGAUUUUGGUACCUGUCUAUUUGAAAUGUUUUAAAAUAUUUGUGGUUUUCUAUGUGGUGUGAUUUUCCAUUUUGUGGAGUCUUGUUUUAUGCCCUUCAUAAAUCUUAGACAAUGUUCAUCUGGAUUUUGGUACCUGUCUAUUUGAAAUGUUUUAAAAUAUUUGUGGUUUUCUAUUUUUAUUUUUAUUGUACUUUAGAUGAAGGUUGACAGAACAAAAUAGUUUCUCAUCAAAUAGUACCAAGUAUUGUUUUAUGACAUUGGUAAACCACCCCACAACAUGUCAACACUCUCCCUUCUCAACCUUAGGUUCCCUAUUACCAGCUCUAUUUGAAUUUUUUCAUAAGUAUUUAAAAUUUUUGGCAACUAUUUUUUUUUAUUGUGCUUUAGGUGAAAGUUUACAAAUUAAGUCAGUCUCUCAUACAAAAAUUAUACACACCUUGCUUUGUACUCCCAGCUGCUGUCCCCUUAAUGAGACAGCACAUUCCUUCUCUCCACCCUGUAUUCCCCAUGUCCAUUCAACCAGUUCCUGACCCCCUCUGCCUUCUCAUCGCACCACCAGCCACCAGAUGGGAGUUCCCCACAUGGGCUCAAGUGUCCACAUGAGCCAAGAAGCUCACUCAUCACCAGUAUCAUUGUCUAUCUUACUGUCUAGUCCAAUCCCUGUCUGUAGACUUGGCUUUGGGAAUGGUUCCAAUUUGGGGCUAACAAAGGGUCCGGGGACCAUAACUGUCAGGGUCCCUCCAGUCUCAGUAAGACCAUUAAGUUUGGCAGCUAUUUUGAAAAACAUCUAAAUUUUCUUUUUAACAAGUUAUUUUUAGUAUAAAAGAAAUUCAUUGUUCUUAGGCGUCAUCAAGUCGCUUUUCAACUCAUAGGGACUGCACAUGACAGCGUAGAACUGCCCCAUAGUGGUUUCCUAGGCUGUAAUUCUUAAUGAGAGCAGAUCACCAGAUUUUUUUCUCCUGCGGAGUGGCUAGUGGACUCAUUACCAGCCGGGCACCUACCCAUUGUGCCACCAGGGCUCCUUAUAAAAGAAAUCUACUGCUAAACUCUACAUAGUUCCAGUAAUUUUUGAGUCAAAUCUCAUGGAUUGGCAAAACAGUAUAGUGGGCAAUAGCACACACUGCCUAAGUUCAAAUCCCUGUGACUCUGCAGUUUCCUAGUGCUCAUUUGAGUGCAGGCCACUUACUACCAACUCUAAGGCAGUGACAUCUAAGAGAUCCCGUAUGUUGUAGGAGAAGCAGCAAAACUAACUUGUCAUUGUUAGGUGCCAUCCAGUUAGUUCUGACAGAACAAAGCACUGCCCGGUCCUGCACCAUCCUCGCAAUUGUUGCUAUGUUUGAGCUCAUUGUUGUAGCUACUGUGUCAGUCUAUCUCAUUGAGGGUCUUCCUCUUUUUUGCUGGCCCUCUGCUUUACCAAGGAUGAUGUCCUACUCCAGGGACUGGUCCCUUCUAAUAACCUGUCCAAAGUAUGUAAGAUGAAGUCUCGCCAUCCUCGCUUCUAAAGAGCAUUCUGGCUGUACUUAUUCCAAGACAAAUUUGUUCAUUUUUCUCUCGUUGCAUAGUAUAUUCAGUAUUCUUUGCCAACACCAUAAUUCAAAUCCAUCAAUUCUUCUUCGGUCUUCCUUAUUCAUUGUCCAGCUUUCACAUGCAUAUGAGGUGAUUGAAAAUACCAUGGCCUGGGUUGGGUGCACCUUAGUCCUCAAAGUGACAUCUUUGCUUUUGAACACUUUAAAGAGGUCUUUUGGAGCAGAUUGCCCAAUGCAAUAUGUCGUUUGACUUCUUGACUGCUGCUUCCAUGGGUACUGAUUGUGGAUCCGAGUAAAAUGAAAUCCUUGACAACUUCAAUCUUUUCUCUGUUUAUCAUGAUGUUGCUUAUUGGUCCAGUUGUGAGGCUUUUUGUUUUCUUUAUGUUAAGGUGUAAGCCAUACUGAAGGCUGAGGUCUUUGAUUUUCAUCAGUAAGUGCUUCAAGUCCUCUUCACUUUCAGCAAGGAAGGUUAUGUCGUCUGCAGACUGCAGGUUGUUAAUGAGUCUUCCUCCAAUCCUGAUGCCACGUUUUUCUGCAUGUACUCCCCCUUCUCAGAUUAUUUGUUCAGCAUACAGAUUGAAUAAGUAUGAUGAAAGGAUACAAUCCUGACACACACCUUCCCUGAAUUUAAACCACGCGGUAUCCCCUUGUUCUGUUUGAAUGACUGCCUCUUGGUCUAUGUAAAGGCUCCUCAUGAGUACAAUUAAGUGUUCUGGAAUUCCCAUUGUUUGCGAUGUUAUCCAUAAUUUGUUAUGACCCACACAGUCAAGUGCCUUUGCAUAGUCAAUAAAACACAGAAAAACAUCUUUCUGGUAUUCUCUGCUUUUACCCAGUAUCCAUCUGACAUCAGCAAUGAUAUCCCUCAUUCCACAUCCUCUUCUCGAUCCAGCUUGAAUUUCUGGCAGAUUCCUGUCGAUAUACUACUGCAACUGCUUUUUAAUUCAGCAGAGUUUUAGUUGUGUGUGAUAUUAAUGAUAUUGUUCAUUAAUUUCCUCAUUCUUCUGGAUCACCUUUCUUUGGCAUAGGCAUGAAUAUGAAUCUUAUCCAUUCUGUUCGCCAGGUAGCUGUCUUCCAGAUUUCUUGGCAUGGAUGAGUGAGCUGUUCCCGCGCUGUAUCUGUUGAAACUUCUCAACUGGUAUUCCGUUAAUUCCUGGAGCCUUGUUUUUCACCAGUACCUUCAGUGCAGCUUGGACUUCUUCCUUCAAUACUGUCUUGGUUAUCUAAUACUGCUAUAACAGAAAUAACCAAAAGGAUGGUUUUAACAAACAAGUUUAUUCUCUCACAAUCUAAUAGGCUAGAAGUCCAAAUUAAGAGUGCAAGCUCCAGGGGAAGGUGUUCUCUCUCUCUUGGCUCUGGAGGAAGGCCCUUGUCAUCAAUCUUCCUCUGGUCUAGGAGCAUCUCAGUGCAGGGACCCCAGGUCCAAAGGACACACUCUGCUCCUGGCACUACUUUCUUGGUAGUAUGAGGUCUCUCUGUCUCUCUGCUCGCUUCUCUCUUUUAUAUCUUAAAAGAGAUUGGCUUAAGACACAACCUAAUCUAGAUUGAGUCCUCCCUCAUUAAUAAAACUGUCUCUAAUCUUGCCUCAUUAACAUCAUAGAAGUAGAAUUUACAACACAUAGGACAAUUAUACAAGAUGACAAAAUGGUGGACAGUCACACAAUACUGGAAAUCAUGGCCUAGCCAAGUUGGCACUUAUUUUUGGGAGACACAAUUCAAUCCAUGAAAAAUAUCAUCUGGUCUUGAUCGUAUGCUACCUCCUGAAGUGGUUGAAAGUCGACCAAUUCUUUUUGGUACAGUGACUCUAUAUUCCUUCCAUCUUCUUUUGAUGCUUCCUGUGUCAUUUGAUAUUUUGUCCAUAGAAUCCUUCACUAUUGCAACAACUCGAGGCUUGAAUUUUUUCUUCAUUUCUUUCAGUUUGAGAAAUGCCAAGUAUAUUCUUCCCUUUUGGAUUUCUAACUCCAGCUCUUUACACAUUCAUUAUGAUACUUUACUUUGUUUUCUUGAGCUCACCUGUGCAAUUUUCUGUUCAGCUCUUUUACGUCAUCAUUUUUUGUGUUUGCUUUAGCUACCCUACACUGAAGAGCAAGUUUCACAGUCUCUUCUGACAUCUCUUUUGGUCUUUUCUUUCUUUCUUACACUCUGUUAAAAGUCAAAGUAAGGGAGGAGGUGGGGCCAAGGUGGCGGAAUAGCCAGAUGGUUCCUGUGAUUCCCCUUACAACAAAAACCAAAAAAAACAAGUGAAAUGGUUAUAUUUAUGACAAGCUAUUUUUUAGGAGCUCUGAACAUCAAAGGCAAGGUUACAAGAGGGUCUGAGCGGCAGGGGGAGGGUUCAGAAGCGGAGAGGAGUUACUGGUCCUGAAUUGCCGGGAUCCCUCAGGCACCAUUCCUGUGAGUUCCUGUGCCAGGCUGGUGGUAGCGUUCGGCUGCAGUUUCCUCAGGGAGAAGCGACCAGCUGCACAGCCUACUCACACCUCCAGAACCAGAGAAGAACGGUGCUCUCGGCAAAAGCUAAGUACACAUAUAUAUUUUAACAUGUCCCCAGCCCCCAAGCCAACUUCAGUGGCUGUUGAUUUCCCUGAGCCUGAGAUAGGCCCUAUUAAGCACCCUGAGCCAUCCUCCUGGCCUUGGAGUAGGAAUAAAUUCACAAUUGGGUGAAAAGAUAAUUUGCCAGGUCCACUAACCUGGGGAGCCCAGGACAGAAGCAGCUCCUGUCCAGGCAUAAACACUCUGUGGACAUUGAAUACCUUUUCCCCCUUCAUGGUCCUGUGUGGAACUAUUUCUGGAGAAUAGACCCUUGUUGGCAGACUGCAACCAUUUCAGCUCUGUGGCAAAGGUGUGCGUGUUUGAUAUUUGACACCACUUUGCCUAUUAAACAGGGUCCUCACCUACCCACAUCAGGGGCAUAAGGACUGGUGGCUCCACUCAGGUCACCCAGCCAACCGCGACAGGGGCCCAAGGAUAACUGGUACCUCCCAGUCCUUACAACCAAAAGCACUGGGUGUCCAAGGUCCGUCUGCAGAACCCGCCCACCUGUACACUCUGGGGAACAGGGACAUGCUUUCCUCACAGACACUCAGGACAGUUCUCAGCCCCCUGUCUUGUUCAGAGUGUGACCCCUGGAGCAAUCAGAUACCAGUAUAUACGCCAAUCACCCCUGCCCCUCUAAGACUGUAGGACAGAGCCUGUACCGCACACUUGAUGAUUGGCUACCUGGACAACUGAGCUGAAUUCAUACAAGAAAAGUGAACGGACUCAGACUGAUAUACCUGAUAACAGCUCUAGGCAUCUGGUGACAGGAUGUCAGAACUUCAAAGGUGAAAAUAAUCAGGCUAGCUCACUCAAGCAACCCAUUGGGGCAUAUCAAAACAAAACAAAGCAAUAAGCCAGGAUAUAGUAAGCAAACAUAAACUAAUACAAUAACUUAUAGAUGGCUAGGAGACAACAAUCAAUAUCAAGUGGCAUAAAGAAACAGACUAUGAUAGCUUCAACAAGGUCUCAAAACAAAGAAUCAAUGGAUCUUCUGGAUGAAGGUGCCUUCCUGGAAUUACCAAAGGCAGAAUUCAAAAGAUUAAUAUACAGAACUCUUCAAGACAUCAGGAACAAGAUUAGGAAGGAGACCAGGCAAUACGCAGAACAAUCCAAGGAACACACAGAUAAAGUAGUUGAAAAAAUUAAAAAGGUUAUUCAAGAACAUAAUGAAAAAUUUAAUAAGCUGCAAGAAUCCAUAGAGAGACAGAAAUCAGAAAUUCAGAAGAUUAUCAAUAAAAUUACAGAAUUAGACAAUUCAAUAGGAAGCCAGAGGAGAACGGACCAAGUGGAAGGCAGAAUUGGUGAGCUUGAACAUAAAGCACUUGGUGCCAAUAUAUUUGAAGAAAAAUCAGAUAAAAGAAUUUUAAAAAAUGAAGAAACCUUAAGAAUCAUGUGGGACUCUAUUAAGAGAAAUAACCUACGAGUGAUUGGAGUACCAGAACAGAGAGGGAUAACAGAAAAUACAAAGAGAAUUGUUGAAGAUUUGUUGGCAGAAAACUUCCCUGAUACCGUGAAAGAUGAGAAGAUAUCUAUCCAAGAUGCUCAUCAAACUCCACAUAAGGUAGAUUUUAAAAAGAAAGUCAUCAAAACAUAUUAUAAUCAAACUUGCCAAAACCAAAGGUAAAGAGAGAAUUUUAAGAGCAGCUAGGGAUAAACAAAAAGUCACCUACAAAGGACAGACAAUAAGAAUAAGCUCAGACUACUCGGUAGAAUCCAUGCAGACAAGAAGGCAAUGGGAUGACGUAUAAAGUACUGAAGGAAAAAAAAUUUCCAGCCAAGAAUCAUGUAUCCAGCAAACUGUCUCUCAAAUAUGAAGGUGAAAUUAGGACAUUUCCAGAUAAAUAGAAGUCUAGGGAAUUCAUAAAAACCAAACCAAAACUGCAAGAAAUACUAAAGGGAGUUCUUUAGUUAGAAGAUCAAUACUAUCAGGUAUCGACCCAAGACUAGAACACUGGACAGAGCAAUUAGAGGUCAACCCAGACAGGGAAGUCACAAAAAUAAAUCAAGAUUAAAAAAAACACUCAAAACAGAGAAACAGCAAUAUUAUUAGGUAAAAAAAGACAACAUUAAAACAAGAAAGUGAGACUAAGAAAUGUAGUCAGAGAUCUUUCAUAUGGAGAGGAAGACAAGGCAAUAUAAAGAAAUAAAAGUUAGGUUUAAACUUAGAAAAAUAGGGGUAAAUAUUAAGGUAACCACAAAGGAGACUAACUAUCCUACUCAUCAAAAGAAAAUACAAGAAAAAAAUAGAGACUCAGCAGAACCAAAUUCAACAACAAUGAAUAUGAGGAAAAGACAAUAUAUAAAGAUAACUACUUAGCACAAAAAAUUAAAUGGAAGAGAGAAACUAUCAACAGCACACAAAAAAAGACAUCAAAAUGACAGCACUAAACUCAUACCUAUCUAUAAUUAUGCUGAAUGUAAAAGGGCUAAAUGCACCAAUAAAGAGACAGAGAAUGGCAGAAUGGAUAAAAAACAUGAUCUGUCUACAUGCUGCCUAAAAGAGACACACCUUAGACUUACAGACACAAACUAAAACUCAAAAGGAUGGAAAAAAAUGUAUCAAGCAAACAAACAAAAAAGAACAGGAGUGGCAGUAUUAAUUUCUGAUAAAAUAGACUUUAAAGUUAAAUCCACCACAAAGGACAAGGAAGGACACUAUAUAAUGAUUAAAGGGAUAAUAUACCCAGAGGAUAUAACCAUAUUAAUAUAUUUAUGCACCCAGUGAAGGGAUGCAAGAUUCAAACAAACUCCAACAGCGUUGAAAAAUAAGAUAGACAGCUCCACAAUUAUGUUAGUCUAGUAGGAGACUUCAACACACGACUUUCAAUGAAGGACAGGACAUCCAGUAAGAAGCUCAAUAAAGACACGGAACAUCUAAAUGUCACAGUUAACCAACUUGACCUCAUAGACAUAUACAGAACACUCCAACCAACAGAAGGCAAGUAUACUUUCUUUUCUAGUGCACAUGGAACAUUCUCUAGAAUAGAUCACAUAAUUAGGUCAUAAAGAAAGUCUUAGCAGAAUCCAAAACAUCAAAAUAUUACAAAGCAUCUUCUCUGACCGUAAGGCCAUAAAAGUAGAAAUCAAUAACGGAAAAAGCAGGGAAAAGAAAUCAAACACUUGGAAACUGAAUGAUAUCCUACUCAAAAAUGACUGGGUUAUAGAAGACAUUAAGAAUGAAAUAAAGAAAGUCAUAGAAUCCAAUGAGAAUGAAAACACUUCCUAUCAGAACCUUUGGGAUACAAUGAAAGCAGUGCUCAAAGGUCAAUUUAUAUCAAUAAAUGCACACAUCCAAAAGGAACAAAGGGUCAAAAUCAAAGAAUUAUCCCUACAACUUGAACAAAUAGGAAAAGAGCAACAAAAGUAACCCUCAGGCACCAGAAGAGAGCAAAUAAUAAAAAUUAGAGCAGAAUUAAAUAAAAUAGAAAACAGAAAAACAAUUGAAAGAGUUAACAAGACCAAAAGCUGGUUCUUUGAAAAAAUUAACAGAAUUGAUAAACCAUUGUCCAAACCGACAAAAGAAAAACAGGAAAGGAAGCAAAUAACCUGAAAAAUAAAUGAGACGGGUGAUAUCCCAAGAGACCCAAUUGAAAUUAAAAGAAUCAUAUCAGAUUACUAUGAAAAGUUGUACUGUAACAGAUUUGAAAACCUAGAAGAAAUGGAUGAAUUCCUCGAAACACCCUACCUACCUAAAGUAACACAAACAGAAGUAGAACAAAUAAAUAGACCCAUAACAAAGAAGAGACUGAAAAGGUAAUAAAAACUCCCAACCAAAAAAAGCCCUGGCCCGUAUGGCUUCACUGCAGAGUUCUACCAAACUUACAAAGAAGAGUUAACACCACUGCUACUAAAGGUAUUUCAGAGCACAGAAAAGGACGGAAUACUUCCAAACUCAUUCUAUGAAGCCAGCAUAUCCCUGAUACCAAAACCAGGUAAAGACACCACAAAAGAAAAUUACAGACCUAUAUCCCUCAUGAACAUAGAUGCAAAAAUCCUCAACAAAAUUCUAGCCAAUAGAAUUCAACAACAUAUCAAAAAAAAAAAAAAUUCACCA